rnacentral:rRNA from 1 species
CCAGAUUAGAGUUUGAUCCUGGCUCAGGAUGAACGCUGGGGGCGUGCUUAACACAUGCAAGUCGAACGGAGUCUAAAAAUUACCACUGAGCUCUUAGCCGGUGGUGAGUAGCGUCAUGGACACGAAGUGGCCAUCACGCGUUAAAAAAGUGCUGACAUGGGGCUGAGGCCUGAGUGGUGAUUUUUAGACUGAGUGGCAAACGGGUGAGUAACACGUAGGCAACCUGCCGACAGGAUGGGGACAACAUUCCGAAAGGAAUGCUAAUACCGAAUGAAGUCGAGGGAAGGCAUCUUCCCCCGAUGAAAGAUGGCCUCUGAACAUGCUAUCGCCUGUCGAUGGGCCUGCGUCUGAUUAGCCAGUUGGCGGGGUAACGGCCCACCAAAGCGACGAUCAGUAGCCGGUCUGAGAGGAUGAACGGCCACAUUGGGACUGAGACACGGCCCAGACUCCUACGGGAGGCAGCAGUGGGGAAUCUUCCACAAUGGGCGAAAGCCUGAUGGAGCAACGCCGCGUGAGUGAAGAAGGUCUUCGGAUCGUAAAGCUCUGUUGCAGGGGACGAAAACCGGGUUUGAAAACAUUGAGCCUGGGUGACGGUACCUUGCGAGGAAGCCACGGUUAACUACGUGCCAGCAGCCGCGGUAAUACGUAGGUGGCGAGCGUUGUCCGGAAUUAUUGGGCGUAAAGGGAGCGCAGGCGGGCUGCCAAGUCCAUCUUAAAAGUGCGGGCUCAACCCCGUGAGGGGAUGGAAACUGGCAGUCUUGAGUGCAGGAGAGGAAAGCGGAAUCCCAGUGUAGCCGGUGAAAUGCGUAGAUAUUUGCGAGGAACUCCAUUGGCGAAGGCGGUUUCUGAAAUGGUAUCUGACUCUGUAGA